AUAAAUUUGAAUAACAUUUCUAAAUUAAUUGAACGUUAAUAUAAAAUAUCCAUAUCUAUGUAUACAAGUAUGAAUAUACAAACAUAUGUACACAUAAACCUAUACAAAUGUUCUGUAUACGAACAGCACACAAGCAAGCGUGUUCUGCCCAUCUACAUCUAUGUAUGUAUGUAUACGAAUAUCAUUACGUGUCGAAGUGCAGACCACGAGGGGAAAUAAUGUAAAAUAACUUUAUAUCAAACCUGCGGAAGCCAUCUUUGAAAAAUCCAAACAAAUAUAAAUUUUGAAGAGAACUUUAAUGUGUUAUCUGCAGACACAUAUCAAUGUUUAUAUUUUGUCAUCGAUUGGACCUAAUCAUCGAUAAAUUGUAAAUGCGUGGCUGUCAAAUGGGUCAAAAAAUUUAUCGAAUACUCCAAAAAAUAGCAGUUUUAAUGAAUUAGUAUAUUUGAAUAUUUAUCUAGCUAAUAGGCAGGUUUUUG